rnacentral:rRNA from 1 species
UCAAACUGGGGAUGGCGACCGGCGCACGGGUGAGUAACACGUAUCCAACCUGCCGAUAACUCGGGGAUAGCCUUUCGAAAGAAAGAUUAAUACCCGAUGGCAUAAUAGAACCGCAUGGUUUGAUUAUUAAAGAAUUUCGGUUAUCGAUGGGGAUGCGUUCCAUUAGGCAGUUGGUGGGGUAACGGCCCACCAAACCUUCGAUGGAUAGGGGUUCUGAGAGGAAGGUCCCCCACAUUGGAACUGAGACACGGUCCAA